rnacentral:rRNA from 1 species
GGGGCAUCCCUCGGCGGUUAAAGAUUCAUCGGCUGCGGAUGGCCAUGCGGCGCAUUAGCUAGUCGGCGGGGUAACGGCCCACCGAGGCGACGAUGCGUAGGGGUUCUGAGAGGAAGGUCCCCCACACUGGUACUGAGACGCGGACCAGACUCCUACGGGAGGCAGCAGUGAGGAAUAUUGGUCAAUGGCCGGGAGGCUGAACCAGCCAAGUCGCGUGAGGGAAGACGGCCCUACGGGUUGUAAACCUCUUUUGUCAGGGAGCAAGAGGCGGGUCGAGACCUGCUGUGAGAGUACCUGAAGAAAAAGCAUCGGCUAACUCCGUGCCAGCAGCCGCGGUAAUACGGAGGAUGCGAGCGUUAUCCGGAUUUAUUGGGUUUAAAGGGUGCGCAGGCGGAGGCACAAGUCAGCGGUAAAAUCGCGGGGCUCAACCCCGCUCCGCCGUUGAAACUGUGUCCCUUGAGUGCGCGAAGGGUAGGCGGAAUGCGUGGUGUAGCGGUGAAAUGCAUAGAUAUCACGCAGAACUCCGAUCGCGAAGGCAGCCUACCGGCGCGCAACUGACGCUCAUGCACGAAAGCGUGGGUAUCGAACAGGAUUAGAUACCCUGGUAGUCCACGCAGUAAACGAUGAAUGCUAUCUGUCCGGCCGGAAUGACGGCUGGGUGGCACAGCGAAAGC